CUGACAUACAAAGCAUUCCUCAGAAAACACAUCGGCCUUAGUUUUGUUAGCUAACUAAAGCUAACUAAACUGAGGCCGAUGUGCUAGCUAGAUAACUAGCUACAGUAGCUAGCUACAGUAGCUAGCAAGCUUAGUGUUCACUUUUUUUUCUUUUAUUCAGUCUAACAAUAAUACAGUUAUUCUAAUUGGCUUUGGUUUUGAUACCAAAUAACUCUUUGAUAAUUCCUGAUGAGGGGUCAUUGUGAAACCAACACAUGCUCUGUCUUUAACCUGAAACUCAUUUGCAAUCUGCACGUAUUCUUUUUAUAGAACGAAGAGGACAAGCAGGAAGAGGAGGAGGCAACAGAACGGUAGCCCAGACCUGACAGGUUCCUUCAUAUCCGACCUCACUCAGUCCCAUACGGGGACCGAGCACAUGUCCACACCAGGAAAUGGCUUUUUGCUCCUAUUUGAAAGCGCGAGGAACACUGACGGACGCACGGACGGACGGAGCGGCCGCCGGCUCCCAGCAGCCGCCUUCAGCCACCGUGGACCGAGAGCCAAAUUCCCGGCUGGGAAUAUCUGGACAGAGGACGUGAACAAGGUGGACUCUCCUCUUCCUUACAUCCUGUCUGUGGCUCUUUGAGCAAUGAUUUUGAUUCGCCCCAUAGGAGCUGACGAACAGUUUCAUGUCGGCGUGCUGUAGAUUUAUCCUUUCUGAAAAAAACAUCUGGUCAGCAAAUUCCUCCUCUUAUUGCAGUGGAUCCAGUAAAUAGGAGCUCAUCCUGGUCCAAAGCGUCCAGGUAACUCCCCUGUAGGCGCAUCUGUUUACAGAGAGACAGAUCCUGAGAACUCUGGUCGCGGUGUCUGCACAUGAUAUCAGCACUAAACACGAGUGGUUUUAAGCGCAAACUACCUAAAACCUCACACCUGCUCAGUGAACCCCCUGCUGCUGCCGCUUCCUGCCACCAGGUGGGGUGAGAGACGUGGGGGCAACCAAACGCCUGCCCAUAAUAACCACCAGACAUGACUCAUUCAGCGCAGAACACCACAGCAGCCACAGACAGGUCUCUGGCACACGAGCGGCAGAAAUGGGACUCUGCAGCGGAGUUUGUGAAUGGGGAAGAAAUUUAGUGCUGC
rnacentral:lncRNA from 1 species